UACGUAGGGACCAAGCGUUGUUCGGAUUUACUGGGCGUAAAGGGCGCGUAGGCGGCAUUGUUAGUCACUUGUGAAAUCUCCGGGCUUAACUCGGAACGGCCAAGUGAUACUGCAGUGCUAGAGUGCGGAAGGGGCAAUCGGAAUUCUUGGUGUAGCGGUGAAAUGCGUAGAUAUCAAGAGGAACACCUGAGGUGAAGACGGGUUGCUGGGCCGAACACUGACGUGAGGCGCGAAAGCCCAGGGGAGGCAAACGGGG
rnacentral:rRNA from 1 species